rnacentral:rRNA from 1 species
GACGAACGCUGGCGGCGUGCUUAACACAUGCAAGUCGAGCGGUGAAACUCCGACUUGGUGGCGUUGAUCAUUGGCGAACGGGUGAGUAACACGUGUGCAACCUGCCCCUGACUCUGGAAUAUACGCUGGAAACGGCGUCUAAUACUGGAUACGAUAAGGUGCCGCAUGGGGACUUUCUGGAAAGUUUGUCGGUGGUGGAUGGUCUCGCGGGCUAUCAGCUUGUUUGUGAGGUAAUUGCUCACCAAGGCGACGACGGGUAGCCCGCCUGAGAGCGCGAACGGCGUCCCUGGGCCUGCGACACGCCGCAGACGCCUACGGUCGGCAACAGUGGGGAGUCUUACGCAACGGCCGCACGUCUGUUGUAGAGAUGCCGCGUGCGUAAUGCCCGCCUACGGGUUGUAAACCACUUUCUGAAGGGCAGAAGCCAUAGUGACGGUACCUGCACAAGAAGCACCGGCUAACUACGUG